rnacentral:rRNA from 1 species
AACGUAGGAGACAAACGUUAUCCGGAGUUACUGGGCGUAAAGGGCGUGUAGGUGGUUACGUAAGUCUGGCGUGAAAUUUCUCGGCUUAACCGAGGCAGGUCGUCGGAUACUGCGAGACUAGAGGACGGUAGAGGCGUGUGGAAUUCCGGGUGUAGUGGUGAAAUGCGUAGAGAUCCGGAGGAACACCAGUGGCGAAGGCGACACGCUGGGCCGUACCUGACACUGAGGCGCGAUAGCAUGGGGGAGCAAACAGGG